ACUCAUCUUCUCCUGCCCUGGCACAUCAAAACUCCAGGUUCUCUGAUCUUUGAACACUGGGACUUAAUCCAGCAUCCCCUUACUGCCUGAAGUUCUCAGGACUUUGGACUUGGACUGAACGAUGCUACCAGCUUCCCUGGCUUUCCAGCUUGUAGAUGGCGUAUCAUGGAAUUUCUCAGUCUCCAAAGUAAUAAAUUUGUAAAUUUUCACAAGCAAGAAUCUUCUUCUACUUCUUUAACCUCACAAUGCAUAGUAAGUACUUAUUGUGGAAAUGUUAAAAUUUUUUUCUGUUUUCCAUAACAUUGAUCUGCUACAGGCCAAUCAGUGAGAAUGUAUAUAGAAUUCCCAUACCCGUAAUCUGUUCACCACCACCACCAACUUUCGCCCGAAACCCUUACCCUACAUACACACUUAGAAAAAGAAACAAACAUUUCCCAAAUGGCAUAUGGUUCCUUUUGUUACUUGCACUUAACUAAUAAAUAUAUGAGACAUGAUCUGUGCUAUAUUUUUAGCUGAAAGGGGGAAUGGGUGGAAGAGUUAAGCAGGCUAUUUCAGUGUUUAAGAGAGAUGAUGGUGGCUUGGGCAGGAUGGUAGCAGAGGAGGUCAAGAUGGGAUCAGGCUGGGUGUGGUGGCU
rnacentral:lncRNA from 1 species